rnacentral:rRNA from 1 species
GGCUAACCUGCCCUUAGGACGAGAAUAACCCCGGGAAACUGGGGCUAAUGCUCGAUAGGUGAAGAACUCUGGAAUGAGUCUUCACUUAAAAGAGUCUGCGUUAUGCUCGUAGAUUUCGCCCAAGGAUGGGGCCGCGACCGAUCAGGUUGUUGGCGAGGUAAUGGCUCACCAAGCCUUUUACCGGUGCGGGCCGUGAGAGCGGGAGCCCGGAGAUGGGCACCGAGACAAGGGCCCAGGCCCUACGGGGCGCAGCAGUCGCGAAAACUUUGCAAUACACGAAAGUGUGACAGGGCUAUCCCGAGUGCCAUCCGCUGAGGAAGGCUUUUACCCAGUCUAGAAAGCUGGGGGAAUAAGGAGAGGGCAAGUCUGGUGUCAGCCGCCGCGGUAAUACCAGCUCUCCGAGUGGUGUGGAUGUUUAUUGGGCCUAAAGCAUCCGUAGCUGGCUAAGUUAGUCCCCUGUUAAAUCCAACGAAUUAAUCGUUGGAUCGCGGGGGAUACUGCUUGGCUAGGGGACGAGAGAGGCAGACGGUAUUUCCGGGGUAGGGGUGAAAUCCUAUAAUCCCGGGAAGACCACCAGUGGCGAAGGCUGUCUGCUAGAACGCGCCCGACGGUGAGGGAUGAAAGCUGGGGGAGCGAACCGGAUUAGAUACCCGGGUAGUCCCAGCUGUAAACGAUGCAGGCUAGGUGUUUGGACGGCCACGUGCCGUUCUAGUGCCGCAGGGAAGCUGUUAAGCCUGCCGCCUGGGGAGUACGACCGCAAGAUUGAAACUUAA